rnacentral:SRP_RNA from 1 species
CCGUGCUAGAUGGGGAGGUAGCGGUGCCCUGUAACUCGCAAUCCGCUGUAGCGAGGUUGAAUUCCUAUUAGAGGUCUUGUCGAUGUGAGGUUUGGUCCUUGCAGUCAAUGUUGACGGCUGGGUCCUCCGCAAUGAGUAACUGUGAACCUGGUCAGGUCCGGAAGGAAGCAGCCAUAAGCAGUCUCACUCUUGUGCCGGAGGGUGGCCUAGCCCGAGUUGAUCUGCAAGGGUGCCGCUUGGAUCGCAAUGAUCGAUAAUAGGUGCACGG